rnacentral:snoRNA from 1 species
GGCGUCCUGGUGCUGCCCACAGGCUGUGUUCUCACACUGACCGUACAGAAACAGGAGGCAGAGUAAACCUGCACCAUGUACACCUCAGCCCAGGCCUGCGCCUGCUCUGCACUGUGAAUGGGGAGCUGUGG